UGCAUGCACGGUGGGAGUGAGACAUGAAUACUUGAAAAGAAACUUAAGAAAGGGAAGGUAUGUGAUUGCAUGCAUGUCUGCUGGUUCCAGAAGGUAUGGACAUAUCCCUUGUUUCACCUCAAAAUCUAUCGACCUCGAGAUUCAUACAUGCAUAAAUAUUACCAAUUUUUUUGUUAAAUUUUUGAAAAAGAGCUAACAGGAAGUGGCUGUCCAUUAAUUACACAAAACCGUACCUAUCAACUUAGUUUUGUUUGGCACAACAUUGUUAUCUAUUUUAUUUCACAUUGAUCAAUACACUACGAGAACAUAGAAAAGUUCAAACUAAGAAACAAAAAGAUAAAAUCUUGAUCACUUGGUCUUUAAUCUAAUCUGAUGGGGGAAAGCAACCUUGUUCCAUUUAUACAAAGUGGGAGUAAACACUCAGUUAUAACACAUGCAAACGGUUAACAUUUCUUUAGCAAAACAUCAAGUUUCUGGCUUACAAAAGAAGCAUCAUGUUCCUCCACAAGCCUGAAAUCAUUUCCGUGUAUGUUGUAAAAUUAAACAACACUCUUUUAGAAGAGGAGACUACAAAAAGAUAAAUCCCAAGAAUCAUCCAUUUAACAAGCCUUCAUUCAUGUCAAAGCUAAUAAGGUGGAUGAUGCUUGGGAUUUAUCUUGUUAUCACCCAAACAAAAAGAAAGAGUGGACAGUAACACACUAAGAGACCUGGCACAUUAUAAGACAAAAAAAAAGAAGAUAAAUCCAUUUUCACUCAGGACAUCAUAGUCCUUUACUCUCUUAAGACUUUGCAAAAAUCGAUUCAUGAGAUCAUUAUAAGUCACUUCGUUUGGGAAAGCAACACUUGAUUACCAAAUGCAGUGACUUAUAAUACUCUCAUAAAACAAUCUUCAGCAACUUCUCAAGAAAAGAUAAAUCAAGAAAGAGAGAGAAUAAAUAAUAUCUGCAAAAACAUUUUGUUAUAUACUUAACCGGAUCCAAAUACCCUGAGAUCCGCUUCCAUCCCACCUGCAGAUAUAAGAUCAAAUCAUCAUAGUUCAAUUGAAAAGCCAGACUAUCAAGAUUUAUCAAGAAUAGUUUAGGAUCUACCUUUUCAGAUUAUGAAGUUGCUUUCUUCGCAGUCUCAAUGGAUCGAUUCUUGCUCGAGCUGAUUGAGAUGGAUCCAGAGCUCUGUUUCGUGAGUAACAAUGUAAACGGCGUACGGCUUUACCCUAAUAGAGUUUGUUUGAGUGGAGGAGCGUUAUUUAUUAUUAUAGGCUAAGAUAAGAAAACCGGUUAAGCGACGGUUUAGACUUGCCAACCCGGUUAAAGUAAAAUUUAGGAAAGAACCGGUGUGCCCUAAAUCCCUAGGUUAGCGUUUUUACUUUUAGAUGUUAAAUUGUUAAUUAAUAAUUAGGGUUACUAUUACCGAGCCUGCUGCCUGGCCCGUAGAAAGCUCGGCCUAUCAUGAGCCCGGAUCCACUAUAAACCCUCCACAUUGUACACGAGAUAUAAGUUUAAAAUUUUGAUUAGUUGUCAUAUUUUAUCAAAAUCAUCAAUUAUCAAAAAUGGAGGUUUGCUGGUUGUUUUUUUUUUGUCAACGAUGCUGCUGGUU
rnacentral:lncRNA from 1 species